ensembl:lncRNA novel transcript
ACAACUACAGACACAGCUGAGCCUGCUUCACCAUCUUCCGUAGUCCCAGGCUGUGCAAAGAGGAGGUAUAUCCAGCUAGUAUACUUUUUCCCUGGCCGAUUCAGUUGGCUAGAGCUCUUCAGGGACCACACUGCAAUUCUGGAUUUCCUGCCAGCCUUUAGGUGCUUCUGGGAAGAAGGAAGGAAAACUUGAAUGUGCUAAGAGAAAUCUGAACACAGCUUAAAUCAAAAGUCUAUCUUGCUAGAAGAGCACUGGAGAUAGAGUCGGAUACGCUUUAAAGGACAAGGGAAAACAGCUCCCAGUGGAUGGUACACACAUGGCAAAAGGCCAAGAGUAGAAGCACCGUCAUUAGGAAAAGGAAUCAGCCAAGGUUACAUGAAGGGAACUGACAGCACAUCCAGGGAGAGCCAGUAGGGGCACAGAAGACAAAAAUCAGAUGGCUGACUUUUGGCAAACCUCAUCUCAGAUUCUAUUACAAGUCCCUGUUCCAAAUUCCCUCUCUCCUCAAGAACUUUAAAGGAAUUACUUCAAUAACUCCUUGUCAAGAAUAACUAUUAUCAAGAAACACAAACAGGAAACUA